rnacentral:tRNA from 1 species
GGAGAGGUACCGAAGCGGUCAUAACGGCACCGACUCGAAAUCGGUCGGGGGCUUAACGUCCCACAAGGGUUCGAAUCCCUUCCUCUCCGCCA